GUCUCCUCCAUGGAUUUUCUCGUGUCUAACAAGAGCGGAUUUAGAACGAAAUUUUUCCUUGCAAGUUGAGCAGGGAAAUGGCUUUUCCCCAGUGCUGCCUCGAUGGCCCUCCUGAACAUCUCAACGGAGAAUUUUCGUUCUGAUGGGGUCCCUCCUCCUCUCUCCCCUCUUGAUCGCUUGCUAUAAAAAAAAAAAACACACAACCCAGAGAAUCAAGACAGGGUAGGCAUUUCAUUUUUCCACUUAGCAUGCUAAAAUAAAUAAGCUGCAAAUGUU